rnacentral:tRNA from 1 species
AGUAAUGAAGUAAAAAAAUUACAUUUAGUUUCGACCUAAAAGUUAGAGAUAAAUCUCCUUACUU